rnacentral:rRNA from 1 species
AUUCAAGCUACUAAGAGUUCAUGAUGGAUGACUUGGUAGACUCAGGCGAUGAAGGACGUGGUAAGCAGCGAUAUGCUUCGGGGAGUCGCAAACAGGCUUUGAUCCGAAGAUUUCCGAAUGGGAAAACCCAUCCGCCCCUUAAAGGCGGAUAUCCCCUACUGAAUACAUAGGUAUGGGAGGCGAACGAGGCGAACUGAAACAUCUAAGUAGCCUCAGGAAAAGAAACCGUAAGGGAUUCCCCCAGUAGCGGCGAGCGAAAAGGGAACAGGCUAAACCACAGCGUAUACGUUGUGGGGUUGCGGGACCAUAACGUGGGAUUGUUGGAAGAUAGCAAAAAUGUUUGGAAAAACAUACCAUAGAAGGUGAAAGUCCUGUAUGCGAAAUUCGAAAACACCCUAUUGGUAUCCCAAGUACUGUGGAACACGUGGAACUCUGCAGGAAUCCAGCCCGACCAUGGGCUAAGCCUAAAUACUCGAGUCUAACCGAUAGUGAAUCAGUACCGUGAGGGAAGGUUGAAAAGAACCCCGGUGAGGGGAGUGAAAUAGAAUCUGAAAUCAUGAACUUACAAGCGGUCGUAGACCUAUGCGGGCGAUUCAGCUUGCUGAAUCGCUUGAAUGGUUAACGGCGUACCUUUGGUAUAAUGGACCAACAAGUUAUUGUACGUUGCAAGCUUAAGACCUUCUGGGUCGUAGGCGUAGCGAAAGCGAGUCUGAAUAGGGCGCACAAGUAACGUGCAAUAGACGCGAAACCAGGUGAUCUAUCCAUGGCCAGGUUGAAGCCUACCGAAAGGUAGGUGGAGGACCGAACCCGGGUCAGUUGAAAAUGGCUGGGAUGAGUUGUGGAUCGGAGUGAAAGGCUAAUCAAACCUGGCAAUAGCUCGUUCUCCUCGAAAUAGUUCUAGGACUAGCCUCGGAUAAAUUGAAUAGUAGGGGUAGAGUUACUGAAUAGGCUAGGGGGCCUACCCGCCUACCAAACCUAACCAAACUCCGAAUACUACUAUUUUUACUCCGGGAGUCAGACCCUGUGGGCUAAGCUACAGGUUCAAAAGGGAAACAGCCCAGACCGUCGGUUAAGGUCCCAAAUAUAAGCUAAGUGGUAAAGGAUGUGAAAUCACAUAAACAGCCAGGAUGUUGGCCCAGAGGCAGCCAUCAUUUAAAGAGUGCGUAAUAGCUCACUGGUCGAGUGAUUUUGCGCCGAAAAUGAUCGGGGCUCAAGCUUAUAACCGAAACCACGGGUUAGGCGACACUUCGGUGUCGCUUAGCGGUAGAGGAGCGUACUGUUAUGCGUUGAAGGCGUACCGUAAGGAGCGCUGGAGUUGACAGUAGUGAUCAUGUUGGUAUAAGUAGCGAAAACUACGGCGAGAAACCGUAGCGCCGAAAAUCCAAGGUUUCCUGGGGAAGGUUAAUCCGCCCAGGGUUAGUCGAUCCUAAGGCGAGGCCGAAAGGCGUAGUCGAUGGAUAUCAGGUCAAUAUUCCUGAACCGGCUAUAAACGUUAUCAGCUAAUGAGGACGCAGGAGGCUAGGUGUUCGAAGUGUUGGAUGUCUUCGUCUAAGCCCGUAGCUCCGUAGAAAUACGGGGUAAGAGGUUAUGGGGACCCGCGACUACGGUCAAGGGGAAGUCAUUGAUGCCACGCUGCCAAGAAAAGCCCAUUAGUGAGUAUUAUAGUCGCUCGUACCGUAAUCCGACACAGGUAGAUACCCAGAACAUGGGAAGGCGCUCGAGAUAACUCUCCUUAAGGAACUCGGCAAUUUAGCCCCGUAACUUCGGGAGAUGGGGUGCCCUAAAAGUGAAGUCCAUACGGGUGGAGCUUGAGGGGUCACAGUAAAGAGGCCCGGCCGACUGUUUAGUAAAAACACAGCACUCUGCGAAGUCGCAAGACAAUGUAUAGGGUGUGACACCUGCCCGGUGCUGGAAGGUUAAGGGAAGAGGUUAUCCCCUUGAGGGAGAAGCUUCGAACUGAAGCCCCAGUAAACGGCGGCCGUAACUAUAACGGUCCUAAGGUAGCGAAAUUCC